AUUGAACGCUGGCGGCAGGCCUAACACAUGCAAGUCGAGCGGCAGCGGGACCCUCGGGUUGCCGGCGAGCGGCGGACGGGUGAGUAAUGCCUAGGAAUCUGCCUGUUAGUGGGGGAUAACGCGGGGAAACUCGCGCUAAUACCGCAUACGUCCUACGGGAGAAAGCGGGGGCUCUUCGGACCUCGCGCUAACAGAUGAGCCUAGGUCGGAUUAGCUAGUUGGUGGGGUAAUGGCCCACCAAGGCGACGAUCCGUAACUGGUCUGAGAGGAUGAUCAGUCACACCGGAACUGAGACACGGUCCAGACUCCUACGGGAGGCAGCAGUGGGGAAUAUUGGACAAUGGGCGAAAGCCUGAUCCAGCCAUGCCGCGUGUGUGAAGAAGGUCUUCGGAUUGUAAAGCACUUUAAGUCGGGAGGAAGGGCUGUAGGCUAAUACCUUGCAGUUUUGACGUUACCGACAGAAUAAGCACCGGCUAACUUCGUGCCAGCCGCCGCCGUAACAC
rnacentral:rRNA from 1 species